GAUGAAGAACGCAGUGAAAUGCGAUACGUAGUGUGAAUUGCAGAAUUCCGUGAACCAUCAAAUCUUUGAACGCAUAUUGCGCUCGAGGCUUCGGCCGAGAGCAUGUCUGCUUCAGCGUCGGUAUUACCCCUCGCUUCUCAACCCCUGGUUGAUGCCUGCCUGCCUUUGCAGUUGGCUAGAAGCGGAUCUGGCUUUCCCAAUUGCCUUUGGUAGUUGGGUCAGCUGAAGCACAGAGGCUUGAGCAAGGACCCUUAUUGGGCUUCAACUGGAUAGGUAGAACUGGUCUUAGGACCAACUACACGAAGUUGUUGCUUGUGGUCUUUGUCUGGAGGCCAGCAGGAAACCUUUAUACCUUCGACCUGAGCUCAGGCAAGAUUACCCGCUGAACUUAAGCAUAUCAAUAAGCGGAGGA
rnacentral:misc_RNA from 1 species